rnacentral:tRNA from 1 species
GCGGCUUUAGCUCAGCUGGAAGAGCAACUGGGUUACACCCAGUAGGUCGGGGGUUCGAUCCCCUCAGGCCGCA